rnacentral:rRNA from 1 species
CCCGACUGCUAUUUGGGUGAGGAUAAGCCAUGCGAGUUGUAUGGGAUACCUAAAUUUCCCAUGGCAAACUGCUUAGUAACACAUGAUCAACUUACCCUAUGGAGAAAAAUAACCUCGGGAAACUGAGGAUAAUGUUUCAUAGAUGAAUAGGCUUGGAAAAGUUUUUCAUCGAAAAGGAUAAGAAAAAUGGUUUUUAUCUGCCAUAGGAUAGGAUCGUGGUCGAUUAUGGUUGUUGGUGAGGUAACGGCUCACCAAGCCGACAAUCGAUAGGGGCCGUGAGAGCGGGAGCCCCAAGAUGGGUACUGAGACAGCGACCCAGGCCUUACGAGGCGCAGCAGGCGCGGAACCUCCGCAAUACACGAAAGUGUGACGGGGUUACCCAAAGUGUUCUUUUAAGAACUGUGGUAGGUGAGUAAUAUCCCCUACUAGAAAGGAGAGGGCAAGGCUGGUGCCAGCCGCCGCGGUAAAACCAGCUCUUCAAGUGGUCGGGAUAAUUAUUGGGCUUAAAGUGUCCGUAGCCGGUUUAGUAAGUUCCUGGUAAAAUCGGGUAGCUUAACUAUCCGCAUGCUAGGAAUACUGCUAUACUAGAGGGCGGGAGAGGUCUGAGGUACUACAGGGGUAGGGGUGAAAUCUUAUAAUCCUUGUAGGACCACCAGUGGCGAAGGCGUCAGACUGGAACGCGCCUGACGGUGAGGGACGAAAGCCAGGGGAGCGAACCGGAUUAGAUACCCGGGUAGUCCUGGCCGUAAACGAUGCAUACUAGGUGAUGAUACGGCCAUGAGCCGUGUCAGUGCCGUAGGGAAACCGUUAAGUGUGCCGCCUGGGAAGUACGGUCGCAAGGCUAAAACUUAA